rnacentral:rRNA from 1 species
UACGGAGGCGGCAAGCGUUGUCCGGAAUUAUUGGGCGUAAAGCGCGCGCAGGUGGUUUCUUAAGUCUGAUGUGAAAGCCCACGGCUCAACCGUGGAGGGUCAUUGGAAACUGGGAGACUUGAGUGCAGAAGAGGAUAGUGGAAUUCCAAGUGUAGCGGUGAAAUGCGUAGAGAUUUGGAGGAACACCAGUGGCGAAGGCGACUAUCUGGUCUGUAACUGACACUGAGGCGCGAAAGCGUGGGGAGCAAAUAGG